rnacentral:misc_RNA from 1 species
GCUAGAUGGAGAUUCAUGCGAUUCCCCCUCCUACGCAGUUCCCACCCUUUUUAACCACAAUAAUGACAGCUGUCAAUUCUCGAUUCAAAGAAUUUUGUGAGUAACGUUUUCAGUAGAACUGCAAAUCAAAUCACUGAAAUCAGUUAUCAGCAAAUAGUUCGAGCUACGACAGGGUGCCCUUCUCGAAUUCCCACCAACUUAUAUCAAAGUUUAGUCGUCUUCUUCUAUGACUUCUAACAUUGUCUCGAAUAACUGGGAGGAAGUGGAUAGCAAAGAGGUUCGAAACCCUGGUAAUUGAAACAAACGGGAAAAAGGAAAGCAUUUUAAUCGAAAAAGAAUGAAUUUGUCUUAUACCUUGAUGGAAUGAAAAUUACCUCAAUGUUUAUCAUUGCCUCAAAUGUGGAUCAACACUUUAAAUACAAAUAUUAACAAGAUUUCCUUUCUAGGAUGUGAUUCUUCAUGAUUUGGAUACAAGCAUUGUAUAGAAGCGGAAAGCGCUUUAAUGGUCCACUAACUUUGGAAAGAAUACUAUUCAGUUUACGUAUAUCAUUGAAACAAAGGCCACUGAUAGGAAAUGGAGAGGAGGGCUUUUCCCCGGCCUACUGGUUCAGUUUGGAGAUGCUACAUUGAGUUGGAAUUACUGAGGUUUCAAGAGAGCAAGUAUCCUGAAGCAAUUAUCCCACCUCUACCUGGAAAAAAAGGCAUCAUUCACUCGCCCAAGUCAAAAGCAGUGAUAAUAUUGAUCCUGUAUUUGUUGAUUGCAGAAGAGUAGGAUUGGAGAACUUCCUCUUACGUGUGGACGCCCAUCCCAUUUGAUGCCACGAUGACCAAGUCUUGCUCAUGUUUCUUCAAUCAGAUCGCUAGUAUGGUCAGAUCUCGACGUUAAUGCAGAUGGCGGGAAAUAUAUGUUCAGCAAGCAGAAUUCAAUGAGAUUGAAAAGACCCGAUGAUAACGUGGAAGAAAUUCGCCACUACAGUUCAGAACUACAGUCAAGUUUAUUGGGGAACCUGUUGAGGCUUCGCGUCCGUCUAGCCGAUCGACUCUUUGCUAUCCACAAGCUACACGCUAAUUAUGUUGAAGGCAUUAUAUUUCUCGUGAAGGACAAACUUUGGUGAGCCUCCUUGACAUUUGGACGUCAGAUUGGUCGGCUGAAUACUUCCCAAUCAAUGCGGUCACAGUGUUUAUCUCAUUCAAAGACAUUCUUUACUCGCACGAGAAAAAAGCAGGCACUGAGCCGCCAGUCCGCCAGCUAGAACUUUAGUGUCACUGUUAAUCAAAGUUAUGCUGCAAAAUAAGAAAUUUGCAGUACUUUUUUUUUUUCAGGAAUACCUAAAUGAUUUAAUUAUUUGGAUAUGGCGCUAUUAACGCGGAUCAAGUUGUAAAUCAAAUCGGCUCCUCUUUUUCAUCUUCGUAUUCAAACAACCAAUUUUAUCAAGUACAGCAGUGUACCAAACAGCAGAGAAUUUAUCUUGAUCGUGAAAUUUUUCUUUAAAAUUCUUAAUUCUAAAUUAUUAUUAUCUCACCAUGAUCUCACGAAGAAAACCGUAUAACGCCGCGGAGAAAACAAUGAACUUGGGAAGGGAUAGAAAAAUGUCGUAGUGUUUGGCCUGAAGAUAGUGAUACCGCCAGUCUUUUCCUGCUGGUAUCUCGUCUGGGACUUUAUAACGGAAAAUCACGUCCGGUCAAAUUUCCCGCCUAGAUCUUCGUUUUCCUUUCCAAGUUCAAAAUACACUCAUCACCCUCCAUUGUUUGCGGUCGGUUGCAUCCAUUCAAUUUUGCUGAACGUCUCACUAUUUAAGGCAGCACGGCCAAUUGAAAGUCGAUCCGCUCUGGAAUAUGUGAACUUGAUCCUGCAUUCAUCCGUGAAAAUGCCCAUCGUCAUCAUGUUGGCUCGAAGCUGGAAAACAUGCAACAUAUACAAUCAAUUAGGUGGUGUUGCUUGUGCCGACUGGCUGGUAUCGUUCGAACCUUGACCCCCGAAGCUUCUUUUGGAACUGUCGUCCACUGGAUGCGACUGACGACAGAUGCAACGAAAGUGGAACCGCGAUAUCCUGAAAACGGUGGAGGGAACUAUAACUAUUAUCUCAUUUCCAUUGAUGCAAUUUACCUGGUGGAAGGCGAUUAUGGUCGAUAUCAACGACUGCACCGUUGGCUAUCCAUUGCCAAAAGAAAACAACGGGCAGCUCAGCUCUCUCUCCCGGCUCAGCACGACAAUCUAUUUCGAGUUGAUUGCCAAGUUCCACUCUACGAGUUAACUGUGUCGCUUUGACCCCACCACCUGCGAAUGUCAACAUUUAUUUCACGCAAGUUAAUUCAUCGAAAGCCUCGAAACGGAAGUUGAUGAGCCUAUCCGGCGGAUGCCUUCUGGAUCCGCACGUCGAAUGCGGAUUCAAGUCCAAAUAUUUCCCGAUUGACAGCGUCUUGAGGUUUAUCCUGGUGGAGGAUCUCAUUCUCUGGAGACGAGGAUACACUUCACACUUGG